rnacentral:rRNA from 1 species
UACGUAGGGACCGAGCGUUGUCCGGAAUCAUUGGGCGUAAAGAGCGUGUAGGCGGCCAGGUAGGUCUGCUGUGAAAACUCGAGGCUUAACCUCGAGAUGUCGGCGGAAACCAUCUGGCUAGAGUCCGGAAGAGGAGAGUGGAAUUCCUGGUGUAGCGGUGAAAUGCGCAGAUAUCAGGAAGAACACCCGUGGCGAAGGCGGCUCUCUGGGACGGUACUGACGCUGAGACGCGAAAGCGUGGGGAGCGAACAGG